GUGUUGUUGGUCUCCCUUUUUUGCUAGUGCAUCAUAAACGAGGCUGCCAACCACCUAAGAACAGACUCUGCAUUCCUGGGGUCACGGAUCGGCCAAGGCCAUGCGGCCUCGCACCACACAACAUUAUUAGUUAGCUAAACAGCGUUGCUACAGUCACAAGCUCCCCUCCCUUUAGUGUAGCAACGCCUCUUGUAACCAGGGCAACCCAUAAUAAAAAGAGGAGAUAGCGGAAGAGGAGUCCAGAAUUGGUGGAGGACUGUAACUGGGCCUUCUACGUAAUUCUCCUCGCGAGCAAAAGGAA